rnacentral:rRNA from 1 species
AUUGAACGCUGGCGGCAGGCCUAACACAUGCAAGUCGAACGGCAGCACAGAAGAGCUUGCUCUUUGGGUGGCGAGUGGCGGACGGGUGAGUAAUGUCUGGGAAACUGCCCGAUGGAGAGGGAUAACUACUGGAAACGGUAGCUAAUACCGCAUAACGUCGCAAGACCAAAGUGGGGGACCUUAGGGCCCACCACCAUCGGAUGUGCCCAGAUGGGAUUAGCUAGUAGGUGGGGUAAUGGCUCACCUAGGCGACGAUCCCUAGCUGGUCUGAGAGGAUGACCAGCCACACUGGAACUGAGACACGGUCCAGACUCCUACGGGAGGCAGCAGUGGGGAAUAUUGCACAAUGGGCGCAAGCCUGAUGCAGCCAUGCCGCGUGUAUGAAGAAGGCCUUCGGGUUGUAAAGUACUUUCAGCGGGGAGGAAGGCGGUGAGGUUAAUAACCUCGCCGAUUGACGUUACCCGCAGAAGAAGCACCGGCUAACUCCGUGCCAGCCGCCGCCGUAA